GGAAGGAUCAUUAACACUUUAAAUCCUUUUUAAUGCCUUUGUUAAACCUGUGAUUCGUCUGUCAUUUUUUCAAAUACCUUUUUUUAAAAAUUAUUUUACUAUUUUUGUUUACAUUCUUAAACAAAAAACAACUGCUAGCAUUGGAUGUCUUGGUUCUCGCAACGAUGAAGAACGCAGCGAAAUGCGAUAAGUAAUGUGAAUCGUAGAAUUCAGUGAAUCAUCAAAUCUUUGAACGCAUAUGGCGCUUCUGGGUAUUCCCAGGAGCAUAUCUGUUUGAGAAUCAUCUUCUUACCUCAUUCUUAAUUCAUUUUAGGAAUUGGUAAUUGAAUGUUCAUAUCAUCUUUUUCUAAAGGAAGAAAUGUCAUUCUAAGUGCAUCUAAUUAAGUUUAGAAUUAAAUAUUCAAAUUCUUCUUUUAAUUAGAAAUUGCUUGCUAAGGUUGAUUUAAUUCAGCCAAUCUUGCGAUUUCUUUUAGAACAAUCUGAAUAUCUAGACUUUCUUAGUUCAAAUCAAAUCUUUAAACAAACCAUGAUCUCAAAUCAGGCAAGACUACCCGCUGAAUUUAAGCAUAUCAUUAAGCGGAGGAAAAGAAACUAACAAGGAUUCCCCUAGUAACGGCGAGUGAAGCGGGAAAAGCUCAAUCUUAGAAUCGAAGGGUUAUGCUCUUCGAGUUGUAGAGUAUAGAGGCGUCUUCGGGGGAGUGCGCAGGUAUAAGUCCCUUGGAAAAGGGCGUCAUAGAGGGUGACAACCCCGUUCAUGACUUGUGCAUUUCUUCUAUAUGAGGCGCUUUCGAAGAGUCGAGUUGUUUGGGAAUGCAGCUCUAAACGGGUGGUAAAUUUCAUCUAAAGCUAAAUAUUGGCGAGAGACCGAUAGCGAACAAGUACCGUGAGGGAAAGAUGAAAAGAACUUUGAAAAGAGAGUUAAAAGGGCCUGAAAUUGUUAGCAGGGAAGCGAUUAAAACUGGGCUUAUGCUUUGAGAUUUGGUUUGGCUUCUGGAGGUGCCAGUGUGCUUAGCGAUCGCAAGACCUAGGUAUACUGUCAUUCUUUAGUGCCUUUCUUACUUUCUCAGAGUGUGCGUCAGCAUCAGUUAGGUUUUCAGGAAAUGACCUUUGGGAAGGUAGGCAGGCCUUCACGGGUUUGCUGUUAUAGCCUGAGGGUAGCCCUGUUAGCUUGACUGAGGAAAUGCAGUGCGCGCCAUGCUUGAGGUCUAUUUUCUGGGCUGAGGUACAUCUUAGGACAGCCUCGCUGUGCUUUGGGUGCUUUGGUUUACGAGAGUGGCGCCUUUCAUACGCGUGCUCCAGAUGCUGACAUAACGGUUUUUAACCGACCCGUCUUGAAACACGGACCAAGGAGUCUAACAUAUAUGCGAGUAUUUGGGUGGCAAACCCAAGUGCGGAAUGAAAGUAAAGGCAUUCUCUGAAUGCUUAGGUGCGAGCUAGCGGGUUUACCGCCAGUGCAGCAUCGACCGGUCUGGAGGUUUUCUGAAAGAUCUGAGUAAGAGCAUAUCUGUUGGGACCCGAAAGAUGGUGAACUAUGCCUGAACAGGAUGAAGCCAGAGGAAACUCUGGUGGAGGUCCGUAGCGGUUCUGACGUGCAAAUCGAUCGUCAAAUUUGGGUAUAGGGGCGAAAGACUAAUCGAACCAUCUAGUAGCUGGUUCCCUC
rnacentral:misc_RNA from 1 species